GAGAGAGAGAGAGAGAGAGAGAGAGAGAGAGAGAGAGAGAGAGAGAGAGAGAGAGAGAGAGAGAGAUGGAGCUAACAGAAUGUGAAGGUCUCGCUGCUUCCGCCUUUGGUCGCCGGAUCUCUCUCUCCUACACCAGCCGUAUCUACACAUCGGCGCUGGCGGCGGCGCAGCAGUGGUGGUGGGUUCCCGCGUCACGGGUCGCGGACGCGUGGACUGGUGGCCGGCAUGGGCACGCCGGGCGACGGCGGCGUCCGCGGCGAGGGCAGGCAGCCGAAGCCGAGCGGCGACGUGGGCACGUGGAUCGGCGACGGCAUCCCGCGGAGGCGGCGCAUGUAGGCGGAGAUGGGCGACUCCGCGGUCAUGCAGACGGCCGGGAGCGGCGGGAGCGGGGAGAGCGCCGGCGGGGCCGGCUGGAGGAUGGGCGGCGGGCGCGGCGGGGCCAGAGGCGGCGGGCGGAUGCGGUGGAGGCGGGAGGGUAUCGCCGUCGGCGGCGGAGGCGGGGGCGCCAUGGUGUGAGGCAGCGGAGGAGGACGCGCCAUGAGGGGAGGCGGGGGUGGCGCCAUGACGGGGGCGGGGGCGGGGGCGGCCGCGGGCUGGGGCGGCAGGAGGUGGGACGGCGAGCCGGUGAGCUUCUGGACGACGUCGCGGAAGUCCGACUUGUCGAUGUUGUACACCGGGGGCUGGGGAGGCGGGUGGUCGGCAGGGACGGAGGAGGCCUGCGGCGGCGGAAGUGGUGCGGGUGGGCGGGGAGCCGGCGGCGGCGGGGAAGGCGCUCUCAUGGUGGAAGGGGGAGCGGGAGAGGGAGCGGAAGAGGCGGAGGACGACUGCUUGGAGAUCUUGUAGGAGGCCUUGUUGAGGGACUUGAGCGAGGAGGCGGAGGAGGGAGGAGGCGGCGGCGGCUGUGGGAGGUUGGACUUGUCCAUGACCAUGGCGGAAGAGGGGAGUGUGUGGGGGAAGUGGUGGGAGAUUAGGAUGUGGGGAGUGAGGGGGAGUAGACUUGGAUAGGCGGGUUGGCAGGCUCUUCUUCUCUUCUGGUCUUCUGGGGCAAACCGAAGCGAAACAGGCGCAGUGGGCAGUGCGGUGGUAGCAGUGUCCGGCGGCGGGCUAGGCUAGCCGACUGGUGGCCUUGCCGUGUGCCUCCACCUCCCUGUGGCCUGUGCCUGUGCAGCCUGCCUCUGGAUGCUCGCCGCUUCAGCCGCUCUCCUUCCCGCUCGGCCGCUUGCACAUUCCGGCGGAGAAUUUCGCCUGUGGACUGCCAGUUUCGCGAGCUUUCUACGUGUCUUUUUA
rnacentral:misc_RNA from 1 species